rnacentral:lncRNA from 1 species
GGCAGGGUACGAAGUGCAAUGGAAGUCAUCACCUCAAGUUGAGCUAUUUGGUGUGGCUGCAACAAGGUACCCUGGGGUACCUGUUGUUGUUGAGGCCAUUGACCCAGUUGUUGUUGUUGAGGUUGUUGGAAAGAACACUGUCCGAGCUGCUUCUGUUGUUGUUGGGGUUGGGAGACACCUUGGACCGACUGUUGGGGUUGUUGCUGCUGAGGUUGGUUCAAACCCUGACCAUGUUGUUGUUCUUGUAGGACGAUCGAGUAGAUGAUGGCACGGAUUGCAUCGUAGCGUGAUUGUUCGGGGAUUUGCGGCAGCUGCCGGCAACAUUGUUGCUGCAUCACAUGGCAACUACUCUGCCACAACAUUUGCGACCUAGCAAGACUUUGUGGCAUUGCCACAGGGCUGCAUUGCUGCUGGAGGAAUACCUUGCAUGGGUUUAGCUGCUGCAAGAUAGAUGGCUGAACAGAUGGUAUUUGUUGUUGCGGUAGAACUGGUUGUUGGUGUUGUGAAAAUGGUGGUUGUUGCAGUAGAAUUGGUUGUUGUUGUUGCUGCGAAAAUGGUGGUUGUUGCUGCUGCUGAGAAAAUGGUGGUUGUUGCUGCGAAAAUGGUGGUUGUUGCGGUAAAAGUGGUUGUUGUUGCUGCGGAAAUUGUUGUUGUUGCUGCGAAAAUGGUGGUUGUUGCGGUAGAAUGGGUUGUUGUUGCUGCGAAAAUGGUGGUUGUUGUUGUGAAAAUGGUGGUUGUUGUUGCUGCGAUAAUGGUGGUUGUUGUUGCUGUGAACAUGGUGGCUGUUGUGGAAAUGGUUGUGGUUGUUGUUGGAUGGGUUGUUGUUGUUGGUACCAUAAUAUUUGUUGUAGUGGUAAUGGUUGUUGUUGCAAUGGUUUCUCCAAGCUAGGGAUGUGGCUAGUCUCCAUUUGUGCAAUGGCACUUGUCGCCGCAACGGCGAGGAGGGCAAAGAUGAGGAAGGUCUUCAUGGUGGAUUGGUGUUAAAUAGUGUUGCUUGGUUUUGAUGCUUGUGCUUGUGAUGAUCAUUAUACUUCAUGCCUAUUUAUAGUAGCCCGUGCACCAUCUCUUUCCUUCUUUGCAUCAGCUUUAAUAAUUGUGUUUGGAUGUUUCUGAAAUGGAUUUUUGGUACAUUAUGGUAGGUUGCACUAGCUAUAAGCGUACUUUUGGAUUGAUCAUCAAAGUUGCUUUUUGGUUGUGCAUAUGAUUAUACACAAAGUACAUGAUGUUUGAAGUAGAUGACUUGCCUUAUUCACUUUACAUGUCACGCAUUUAUCAGGAUAGUAUCACUUCUACACCCGAUUUGGGAAAAAGUACAUAAUCUUUGCUAUAGAUAACUUGCCUUAUUCGCUUUACAUGUCAUGCACUUAUCAGGAUAUUAUCACUUUUACACCCGAUUUUGGAACCUUGUAUAGGGUGUCAGCCUUAAACAAGAAAAGGAAAAACUUGUGUAGGACUAAGUUGCAAUCAUGUGUGGGUUGUUAGGAUAUGCUCCAUUAUUAAAGCCUUACAUGUGGAGGGUUCUUCUAGACUCGAUUGUUUUUUAUAGAACUAACUAUGUAUUGUCCUUUAAGAUGAUAAGAUAAACUGACACCUAUAGAGCAUGACAUGACUCAUCGAAUUCCCUUUACAUGUAAAGGAUUGUAAUUGCUUACAAGUCACUAACAUAUAUCCGGUCCUAACUCUAGACACAUCAUCAUUAGUUUGAUCUUUGUGUUAAGGAUUUUUAUUUGAUCAGAUCAUUCUUUUGGCGGACUAAGUUUGCAAUAUUGUGUAAAUAUUUCACGGGGUGCACCUGGUCUCUUUUACUAAAUCUUUGGGGCAGGAGGUUGAUAUUUAUUUGAAUUGUGUAGAACAUUUACAUAGGUAACCUACUAGAAUUAUUAUAUGUUCAUUAUACUAUGACGACAAACAUAUAUAGUUUGGUUUACUGUGGUUCAUGUUUAGGUGUAUAAGAAUGAAUUUAUGUAUAUCGAGGUACUUUAUCAACCCAAAAUGAAAAAUGCCAAACAUUUUAACAUUUUUCAUCAACAAACCUUUAGAACCCCUAUUCGCGGCUAUCCUCCUAGAUCAUGGACAACCAGCAUAUUUCAUUUGUAGGAUUUUGACAAGGUCUUGAUUCUCUCCCACAUAAAAUGUUCUAGAUUGUUUCAUGGCAACUUGUUUGUGCCCGGAUAUUUUCAAUCUUCUUAUCUAGGCCAUACAUAUGUUUUUCUGUCAUUAAUCUAUUAACUGCUGAAUGAAGAGGUCCCAAAUGAUAAAGAAAAACUAUGUUAGGAGUAUGGGCAUCUCCACCACUUGUUUCAAUAAAACCAGAGGAUUUUAUGAUUAUGAAUUUGGUUCGAAAUAUGUUAAUGAUAUGUGCACUCGAUCUGAGCCAAUAUCCGAUGAAUUGAAAAGUGUUAAAUGGCCCAUGGAUAAAUUUAUAUUUGUUCACAAGUAUCAGAAAUCUGGAAUGGUGACACUACAUAUUCAAUUCAAAUUUGAAAAUACAUCUGAUCCCAGCUACGGAGGUCGCCAUGUGCCUCAAAGGAGUCUCCAUCGCAACUCUGGUCGUCUGCAAUUACACUAGAUGGCAGGCUAGUCUGUCAUCCAUCGUGGGAAUCCGCCGACAGGGCAGGUCAGAGGUCCUGUGGUUGCAACUAGCAGGUUAUUCAUCCAAUCUAUGUCCGUCAGUUAGUGCUCGAUCCUGCAGUAAAUGGUACUUGUAUGGAUAUAUAGUUGCAGAGAGGAAUUUCUUUGACUAGUGUUCGAUCUGAUUGCUAGCUGGAUUGGUGGAGAAAUUGCUACUUCCUCGUGCUAGGGCAGCAGUGGACAAUUAGUACAGACAGACCUGGCAAAAAAAUCCAAUGCGUAUAUUAAGUGGAGAUAGUACUAGAUCUGAUGUCUGCAGGAGAUACUAGUAGAUGUUAUACUGCACACUGGCACAGUAUGAGGUCAUUAUGUUGUUCUGUACAAAGUCUGUCACUUAGAUGUACAUAUAUGAGUGACAACCGCAUAUAUAUUUCUUGCAAAAUCCAUGCUUCCUUGCAGGUGGAAGGCCCUCAUGGUGCCCCCGAGACAGAGCCUGUUCCCUAUUUGGUACGGUGAGUAUUGAAUCGAAACGCAAAAUAUGCACUUAUUGAUUUGUCGAUCUCACAUUAUAUGCAUCUGAUAGGAGAGGUUAUCGUCAGAGGUUGUGGAACAAUCUGAAGGACACUUGUGGUUAAGCAGCAGCAUCAGGUGAGGUGUUCAUGUCAGUCAGUUGGUGGUCAGACUGGCACUUGUUUAAUUUGGAUGGUACAAUUUUCUAUUCACAUUGGUAAAUGCCAAUGGACAAUGACCAGCUUGGAUUCGCAUGUUGAAUUUGGAUGAUACAGGUGAGGAAGAAACUAAAAAAACACUAGUUAUGUGGUCACCUGGAACUCCAGAGUGUUUCUUGGUGCCAUAUAGUCUUGCUUUGCUGCAGUUAUAGACUUUAUAAAUGCCCUGAGCUAUUUUGGCAGCAUCGGUGUCGUUUCAUUGUUGUUUUAGCAGGGGCUUUUGAUAAAAAGAGAAGUGAAAAGAAAAAUAUUACGCACGCCUAGGUUAUGUCAUGAUUGUUAUCGGCUUUGUCGAACUUUGACCUCUGUCUUCUUCAGAUAACUGUAAUGUGAAUUAAUAAUCUCCUUCCACAUUUCCUAGGAUUAUAGAAGUUGGUAUGUUGUCGCAGCUGUGAAGUACUUAUCUUACCAAUUAUAGUGUCGUUACUUAGUUGAGGUGACAAUGUUGGAAUUAUGUGUCCUGCAACUAUAUUCAAAUUACUUGGAAUUGUUAAUAUUCGAAUUGCCUCAUUAUGAAAUUAUACAUGUAUUUAUACAUGGAAUUGCUUUACAUGUUUAGCAUGGAAUUGUUACUUGCUGGAAUGUACUUAAGUAAUAUAUGCUUAAGGAAGCUGGUCAAUUCUCAGUAGAAUAUAAUAUUACUAUUUAUAUUGAAAAUACUACCCGGGAACGCUGAUGAUUUGAAGGAGCUAGAUAGUGUAGUUAGAUUAUAGUCCUAAUGUUGAUCUACAUAAUUAGAGGAAUUUACAUUCUAUUAUGAUGUGUUGCUCACAAGCGCGUGCUCCAGGGACAUAACGGAUAGAAUCUGUUAACAAACAAAUACGAUCGUGGUUGGUAAUUUGAUUUAGACUCUAUCCAGGAAACUAGUUGUAACGACUAGGAAUCUUAUAUGUAUAAGAGGUGGACUCUUUGAAAAGACAGUACAAGAAGGUGCCAUCUCUAGUCCAGAUAUGCGAAUUGUGAGCGGCGCCAUGGAUAAAUAGACCACAAACCCUAAAUUUCUAACAGACAAGACGUUGAAAUUUUAUCUUGUGUUCGGAUAGCAUUAUUUGAAACCGUGAGUUGUCUGUUUCUGUACUGAUGGCACCCCAAAAGUGCUGGUUACUGGGGAGGUGUAUGCGGCAUGCCGAAUCAUUCUUCCUCGGGAGGCCCUAAAGCUUCAACUUGUUGAGAAACUGUCUGCACUCUGCAGUUUGGAACCUUACGGAAGGAUGCUGUGAAUUUCAUGGAUAGUGGGCUUCCCUGAUGGCUGCUCUGCUACUGCUAGCUUACGGAAUGGCUUCUACAACUGAACUGUACUGCAGUCGCUCUUGACUGAGAAUUGUUGGGGCCCGCGGUGUAGGGUGACUGCUUGGCGUUGAGUUGAGCUGCAACGCUGAAUCAAACCCUGGACGACACAAACGAUCUGAUCUAGAUUUGGUUUGAUGCUCGUCCUUUGGGUUGGUACCCAUGACAGGCACGGGUCGCCAGCAGUUUACUAUCAUCCAUGGUUCUUUAGCCCUGUGGUGUUCUACUUAUCUGAAAAACUUCUUGUUUUUGAAAUGUCAACUGGGGUAUAUAUAUUUUUCAAAAACAGGAAGUCAUCAGUUUGUGAUCAUACAGCAGAGGUGAAGAGAGGGGCAGAGGGCCAGGCAGUUACACAUAGAUUACAAUAUACAGACAGCAGCCAGGCGGGGUGUCAGCGAGCAGGGUUGCUAGAAUGAGCUGAAUUGCCUCUUUUUUCUACCGAACCUGAAGAUUUGUGCCUAACAUUGAAAAGGUUCCAUAUGACGAUGCAAUCCAAAUUGCCUUUUCGAUCGACUACUCUCAUAUGUAGUAGGUUAUACCAAUGACAACAACAGCAGAUUUAUAUCCCACAAAAAACAUGCAGCAGCAGUGCAGCUGAAGCUAAAAUAUAUAUGUUGGUUACUGAAGCUAAGUCGUAAGCACUUUUCACGGUGAUGAUCCAGGCUUUUCCUUGUUUCCACAUAAUUACCUGAGUUCAAUGAUCUGCAUUUCUCAGGUAUCGCUUGUUUCAUACAUCGAAUGCUAUUUAUCGGCCUAUCCAUGCAAUUUGAAAAUUCACUGCUGAAUGUCGGUUGUGUUCUGCGAAUAAGUGAAUGGUGGUGGUUAUUUGAAACCUAUGCCCAAUUGUGGUGGUUACUUGCAAUAUACUCCUAGAGCUUAAAGCACACGUUUUGGGCAGUAAGUCAGAUAUAUGCAUUAUAGUUUCUUUCUUGAAAGCUAUGUGUUAUGUGACACUGAUCAGACUACUAGUUCUGGAAACAAAUACAUGUGCAGAUGCCAUGCCAGCUUAUGCAAGUUGGUUAACAUUUUUGAAAAAUGAGUGGCUGUGUGCAUCACACAUAGGCCUGGAUUUAACCUCCUUUCCCGGGGGAAAAGGCAAGUUACUUAAUAGUUACAAUCAGGUUAAGUAACUGAAGAAAUUAAGCAGUUGACCCAAAUGCAGCUUUCAGGCUGCCCCAAGCAACAUUAAACUGGGCUUGUGUAAAAUAUUAGUGCAGUUUAUGGUCAGAUGGCCUUGUCGAGAUCGAUGAUGGAUAUUUUAUUUUGGUUGUAUGUUUCGAUCUAAUCCAUAACUGAUGAUACUACAUGCAACUAGGACACGAGUGAAUAAUCUACUUAAGAGCUGCAUCAUGAAGGGAAAACAAGUAAGCUAAGUACAUGGAUUAGAGCAUCUGCACACAUCUCAAGUGGUUGACUUAAGACUGAUUAACAAGCUUAUGUUGUUUCUUACUGAAGCUAGAGCAGACUUGUAUUUCAAGGAAGCGAGAAUGUAUAUAAGUCUUGCUCACGUCUCCUUCCCCUCUCUUGUACCUAUAACUAUCUAUCUCUCCAUUACCAGAUCAUCAGUAUUUACUUGUAUGACGGCAAAAAAUAAUAACAAGAAAAAUUUCACUGCAGAACCUCCUUCAGGCACAAAAUAAUGACCCGAGGAAUAACAAAGUUGGUUUCAAUGAAAGUAAUUAUCGAAGGAGGUUUCAAUACCCAAUGAAUUUAUGUAUGAUUGACUAAUGGUCCUACCUUUUCCAUAAUAUGUUGCUGGUUUUCCUUGAUAAUUGUUUGGAAAGCGUUGAAUUUAGCAUGUUUUAAUCACAAGUGGCCUUCUGAUCCGUCUGUUAUCAUGUUUAGGGUAGCUUACUGGAAUAAUGAUUGGAGUUCCCUGUAGGUGAUGGAGGACGCAAAACGAGCGCUACGACGGGACGCAGGACUUCUGGAAUGAGUCACAACUAAAGUUUUUCAAGCCAGAAAAAGCUUGGUGCCAUGGAUUCCCCGGCUGGAAGAUGGGACUUGAAUUUGGGAUUGUGUCUAUUCCAUUAGUGGUGUUGUCCUGGUUAAUAGCUGGGUGUUGGCAUCGGCAUGUUCAUUGUAAAACACUGUGUAUUUUCGUGUCUUCGUUGUGUUGGUUGUUCCCCUACUCUGUUGCUCAGCUAGGGUUGCAAGGAGGGAUGCCUUAAAAACUUAAUUCCGUGUCCGUGUUGUGUUGGUGGUGGUUGCGUUUUGGUUGUAAAAACCACUUGGUUUCAUUAAUGAAACUGAUAAAAAAAAGUAAGCAUAAACCUUUCAGUGGAAUAUCCAAAAAAGUCCAGGCCAACUGUUUUGAGAGAACAUUUUGCAAUAAGAAAAUUUAGUAGCUACAAUCAGAAUAGAAAUGUUCUUAUCUGAUUCACAUGUUAUCCAUUUGUUCUCUUGUGUUUAAGUGAGUAAUUGCACCAAUUUCGAACAUACAAUAGGUCGUCAAUGUAGCUCAUAUGAAGUGUGCAAUAAGUAAUGAUCCGUGGUAUGGGAGUAUACUCUUCAUAUUCACAUUGACUACACAAACCAAACUUUAUUAUCAGAUCCACACUGACAAGAUAUGAUCCCAAACACACAACCAAACAUAUAUCAUAACUAUAACAAACAAAUGGACAUGGAUUUUUGAAUUAAUAGAAUAUCCCAGGCUAAAAAUCCACAGAUUACUUGAAAAGGAAAAAAUUGACAAAGCUUGUACAGUUCCUUUCAUAGCUACCCGUAUAUGGGUAGCUACAGCCCACCUAGUUUUUGAACAUAUUAUUGGAUGGUGGCGCCAGAUGUAGUGUCCUGCAAAAAAAAGGUAUAAUCAACAUGGCUACAUACCAAGAAACCAAUCAUUAAGGUACUGAUGGAAAUUUGUCAGGAAAAUGUAACAAUCAUAAUGCCAGAUGACUAAAACUAGCUUUGAAAUUUAUAGGCUUAUUUGUUACAUAACCUUAACUACGUCCAAUUGUCAAUACCAUGACGUUUAAAUUUCUUUCAGCUGGACAAGAUAUACAUGCUAGAAACACGAAGAAAAAUAUAUACAGAUUAAGUAGUUGAAUGUAUGUACUUACAGAAGCUUUGACGUAGAAUGCAUGGAUAUUGAGUUCUUUAAUAGUUUGGAACGUAGGGGGGUUGGUGAGUGCGUAAUACUUGAUGAUCCCACGUGCCAUAGCAAACUCUCCAGUCCCACCCAUAAUGGCCAUCUGGCCUUGGCCUGUUUGAAAAUUGAUCCCCAUCGCUUCGAAUGAUGAUCCAUUGUACCUGAUAUAGUUUUAUAGGGCAAUAUCACAUAUCAUAUGAAACUGGAAAAUCUUUAGUAUUUGAGAUCUUUGUAACAAACCAUAUAUGCUAUAUAACCGGGAAAACUAAAACUUGUACUAGUCCAAAAGUAUAUAAAAAUGACCUAGAGUUCUUCUCGAACACCAUGCUGAAGUAGUUGAACCAGCCUGGACCGGCUACAUCAGCCUGCACUUGCAUGCCUUUGGUACGGGCAACAAUGGUGGCAGUAGCGGGGUUUGGUCCAUCAAUCACAGUCCAGUCGGUAACUGCAGUUAGACCAAACUCUGAUGGUUUGCUGGAGGUAACAAUUGCUACCUGGUUGAUGCCUGGUCCGGCGGCGAUUUGGUGCAAGUACAAGCGCAUGUUAACCUCGGACUCACACUGAAGAACACAGGAUAGGGAUGCAGAUGCCAUGGAUAGAAUGGAAUGCAGGAUUAGGAUCAUGGACAGGACUAAAAGGCUAGGGCUAGCCAUUUCUAGCUAGGAUUUUGGCUGGCUGAAGAAGAUGGUAGCUAGGAGGUGUGUCCGUAAACUGACUCUUUCCUUUGUCGAGUGUGUUAGCUGUGUGAGAGACACUUGAGUCUAGGGUACUAUUUGUAGUGCUCCAGAACUAGCUAGCAUAUUCGUUCCAUAUCCUCUUUUUUCAUUUCUCUUUGGGAUGAUCCAUUUCAUAUCCUUUUUAGUUUCUUUUUUUUUCAACUGUCAUUUCAGUUAGGAUAGACAACUACACAUGUGUGACUGAUUCCUUGUACAUCUAUCAACCCUCGGAGAUCACAAAGGUCAAGUGCCUUUUGAGGAACUACCCUUUUUUCCUUGAAAUACAAUGUGUACAUGGUAAUGCAGCAUUGACAAAGACUAAAAUGAAUUAGACGCCCAUUCUUAUCUUUACAUCUAAUUGUAUCUCCGGAUGAGCAGCAGCCUAGAUUUUCCACCUGGACAACGAGCACACUGUCACUACUCCUACAAUACAAAGUUCAAAUACAAGGAUUCAUCGCCGUUGAAUCUGUGAAUCGAUGCGCCGCUCCCCCGCUCCCCCGCUGGGGAAUCGGGUAAAAGGCCGCUCCCCCGCUCCCUAGGGUUUCCCCGCCGCCGCCGGCGGCUCCCCCGCGCGGAGCCGCCGCCGCGGCGGCCGGAGACCGCCGGAGCCGCCAGCCCCCUCCUCUCCCCGUUCCCCUUCUCCUCCCCCCACCCCUCCUCCGCGCCCCCGUACCCCCGCGCCGCCUCCCCGAGCGAGGCGGCCGGGGGCCCUUCCUCCGUGCGCCUCCAGCCCCUCCCCACGCCCAUCCCUCCUCCCGCCGCCGUCAGCCUACGCCGCCGGUCCUCAGCCGCGUGAUGCUGGCGGCGGUGGGCUUGCCCUUCCCCGCUCGCGGUCCUCCCCUGCUCGGGCGAUGAUGGCCGGAGGCGGUGCGCCUUGGCCGGUGGUGGUCCGGCGUCCUUGUUGGAGGCCGGCGGUGCUCGCCGUGGUGGUGCCGCCUCUUGGCGGCGGGGUGGUCCGGUGGUGCUGGCCGGCUGGGGGCGUGUCCCCGGCCCAGAUCUGGGCCCGUAGGGUCCCUUCCGGGUCCUUGCGGGUUGGCUCCGGCGCGACCGUGACGCUCUCUGUAUGGGGAGGCAGGGGAGCGGCUUGGAUUGGGACAGCGACACAGAUGGUGUUCCAGCUGCUGCGCGGAGGCGGGAGCUGUCCGGGCCUUUGACGGCCCGGCCGGGCCUAUGGGGCCACGGGCCCGGUAGGCUCCUGCCAUGGCGUCCGGUCGGCUACCGUCGUGGACGGUGGAGGUGGGGCCCUCCCGUAUGCCAACGGUGUUGUUGCCCUAGUCCCGGCUCCUCUUCUCCGUUGUGCAGACCAUCUUCGUGGUGCCGUGGUGAGACAGCGUGGGAAGCUUCAUGUCCGUGUUGGCGCAGGGUGGUGGCCGGUCUGGUGGCGAGCUCCGGAGUGCCUGAGGUAGAGGCUGGGAUCGGGAGAAAUCUCUGUUGGCUUGGUCAACACCGACGUGGUGGCGUCUGAGGGUGCCGCCGGACCUUCCUUGAGGGCGUCGGGGCUACCCUUCCUCUCUCCUCGUCGUGUACCGGGGGAAACCCUUGGCAGCAGCGUCGUCAUCGUCGCGUCCCUUCUUGGAGGUGUUGUUGGGUACCGGCACUUCGGAGUCUCGGAGCUUGGUGGGCGAUCUCCGGUGGGCGCAGCGGUCACGAGGCUUCGUCGUUUUUGUCGAUCCACCAUUAUCGGCAUUUGUUUCUUUUCUUUUUUCUCUUUCCAUUCUUUUGGGCAUGUUUGUGCUGCUUCCGCCCCAGCCCCUAUCGUCGGUUGUAUUGGUUGAUUGCUUUGUAAUACAAAGCGGGGGGAAACCCCUUUUCUCAAAUCCAAGGAUUCGUGCUGCUUGUAAGUUAGAUACAUAGUUCAUCAAAUGACAUUUAAUUAUCUGGCUCAGUUUAUAGCUGCGAUUGGAGAUGCAACCCCCCACCCAUGGAACCCAGGUCAAAAGCUUUCCUUUCACCUCUUCUUUCCGCCGCCACCGACGUCGCUGCUCUUGUUGGGGCAGACUUGAUGCCAAAGACAGGAGGAAGCGGCCUUGGCAACAUCGCUGGUCUUGUUGAGGCAGCCUUGAUGCCAAAGACAGGAGGAAGCCGCCACACAACACUUCAGUUUGGUGGUGCUCUUCAAAUACCGGAUCUCGAUUUCCAGAGGGGAAACUCUAGCUCAGGCCUUCAUUCACUGUACGUUGGAAUGGCGAUGUUUCGACAUUGUUCCCUUGUUGAAGACAUUGUCUUGAGAUUGCUCGGAAGUCCUAUUCAGGGUGAAAACUCAUGAUCUAGCCUCUAUUAGAUUGGUGACAACAGUGAUCAUCCCUUUCCUAGAGGUGUCGUUGUUGGAGAUCCUUUCUCAUAGUUCGGGUAGUUCCAUUAGCGCAGGUUGGUGUUGGCCACUGAUGCAUGCCAUUGAUUGCUUCAACAUGAAUUUUGUAUGUCCUGUCUUUUUUUAAUAAUUUGGAUGUGUGCAACCCUGAUGGCUGGAUUAGCACAUUGCUUCUUGUAGAGGCUGCAGGGUGGAUGGGAGUGGGGCCGGGGGCAGUGGUGCCGACCGAAAACUAGCAAAUUUACUAUCAUCUUGAUUAACAUAUUUUUAGCGGUUUGUUCCUUGCAAAAAAAGACUAUCAAUGUAUCAAUUAUGCAAGCUAGUUUAAGACCAUUCACAAAUUAUUAUCAAAUGGUUCUAUUAAUGUCAACUGCAUUCAGGAGUCAUGCAUGACGUCAACCAUGUCAAAUUAUUGAAGGUUUAACCUCUGGCUUAGAAACAAAACUUAUGCGUACCAUAGGCCUGCAAAAAUUAAACCACUGUACAUGACAACCACACAAAUAUAAUACCUAGUGGGCAACCUCCGUACGACAACCACAGAAAUAUAAUACUUUUGACAAGUUUAUCAAUGCUACUUGCGUGUUGUCUAAUAAGUAGUGACCUUCAUAAGGAAUUGCGUCGAUCCAAGGAUAACAUCUUAAUUAGCAUACUACUAAGAUUCGAAGACAUAUACUCUUGAAAGUCAGUUGUGCCAUUAGUCAGAUGUGUAUACAGUAUACAAUCCAAUUGUAUGUAUAUGUAUGUCAGUAUGUGUGCUCAUCAACGGUUCACCAUGUUUUGAAGCAACCCAGUCAUCAGUAUGACCGAGUGUUCAGAUAUAUCCAGUAUACAUGCAUUCACGAGUGCUCUUAUUGCUUGUGUGUAACCCAUGUGGUGUGUUUGUUGAUGUAACUUCAUCAAAUAUGCAUCUAUAAUUGAAGGGAGAACCUAUCCUUCAAUUAUGGAUUAGUCGAUUUUCCUAGCCUACUGUUUAUCUUUUUCGCCCACCCUUCUCCACUUCUUUGACCCGUUCCCAACCGUCUGCCAAGCCGUCUGCUAUCUGUGGUGCCGCCAGCCACGCCGUCCGCCGUCGGUGGUGCUUCCGCGUGUGCCCCGGAGCCCUGCCCUGCUCAGUUUGAGCCGCCAUCUCUGCCAUCCCUCUGCACCCUGGCCAUCCCUACAAACCUCCCCACAGUCCCUGGNNNNNNNNNNNNNNNNNNNNNNNNNNNNNNNNNNNNNNNNNNNNNNNNNNNNNNNNNNNNNNNNNNNNNNNNNNNNNNNNNNNNNNNNNNNNNNNNNNNNNNNNNNNNNNNNNNNNNNNNNNNNNNNNNNNNNNNNNNNNNNNNNNNNNNNNNNNNNNNNNNNNNNNNNNNNNNNNNNNNNNNNNNNNNNNNNNNNNNNNNNNNNNNNNNNNNNNNNNNNNNNNNNNNNNNNNNNNNNNNNNNNNNNNNNNNNNNNNNNNNNNNNNNNNNNNNNNNNNNNNNNNNNNNNNNNNNNNNNNNNNNNNNNNNNNNNNNNNNNNNNNNNNNNNNNNNNNNNNNNNNNNNNNNNNNNNNNNNNNNNNNNNNAACCUGUCAAGCCAUUUUCCUCUCCUCCGUCUGCGACCGUGCGGCUAGUCACGACAUCCCGUCUCGUGCUCGAUGUUGCGGUGUGUUGCUCUCUGCAAACCGAGUUGGAUGACGCGAGGAAAAGAAUCAAGACUGAGUAAUAGAAAUUUCCAUGAUUGAAUAUUUCAGUUUGGCAAAACUUUUCAUACAUUUCUAUGGAUUUUCACUGUCAUAGAAACAAAAAAACGUAACAAGGAAAGAAGACGAUGUCCCUUCAUAGGAUUGCAUGGAGGUAACAGAGAUCCAUGUCUUGAAAACGUGGGAAAGAAAGGAGCACGCAAUUGAAAACAAACACCUCAUAAAACUUACACUAGUGCAUACUACGUCGUAAGAACAUCUACAACCGAACCCAAAUGUGACCCCUACACGUCCGUGGAUGCGUCCACAGACAGCGACCGGUCACCCCUUAUAUCUCCGCGUCCUCUUCCGUCCCCCUCAAAUCCAUGCUAACAACAAAACGUCAUCAACAUUUUAUGUAGAAACAAUUUGAACAUAGCAGUAUAAAAACAUAUAUAUUGGGAAUGGCAAGUUUCAUACAAUCGGACACAAAAUGUCCAUCAUCACCUAGAUAUGAUAAGCCUAAACAAUAGAUAAACUCCUACAUGUAGGCGUUGGCUGUCGGAGGGGAUUUGUCGUUGUCCUCGCUCAUCAUGCCGCUGACAUAGGACAGCAUCGAGGAGAUGAUCCCGACCAGACGCCGGACGGCGCAGGCCUGCUCCUUGGUGAGUCGGGCGGCUCUCGUGAGGUUCCUGAAAUCGUCGAUGUCGAGCCAGAGAGCCUUUGCAGUUUUCCUACGUCGGGCAUCCAUCUCUGCUGAUGUCAAUUUUCAGAGGCUGACAUCACGGAGGAGCUCCUCCUCCAGGUCAACCAGCGUGGACCUACAGAAUUCGCAGACACUGCAGGAGGAACCAGCAUUCUCACAGACCUACUGCCUAGCACGGCCGGCUCGCGCCUCUCAUUUGUACGUCCUCCUUGAAAGCUCGUGGUGCGGGAACAAGCAUCCUGCUCCAACCGGGAGGAGCGGAGCCCAAAGUGGUAGAGUAGGGUCACAAAGGGCGAUGGAUCUGGACCGGUGCAAACCGCGACGGGCUGCAUUGCCUCGUCGGCCAACGGGAUAGAAGGCAGAGCUCAAAUUCCUACCCCUGUCCAUCCAUGACCGGCGGAGCGAGGCGCAUGCAAAGGGCGAGUUCUCCUCAUCAUCCAGAUCCGAUUGCGGCAAGGCAUCCCAGUCGAUGGGCUUCGCCUCGUUGCUGGAUCCGCCACUGAAAUCGCUGCCAGAAUCAACCCAUAUGGUAGCCUGAGAAGAGGAAGCAAUGGAGAUGGGAGCGAACAUGACUGGAGUGGAAGGGGAGAGAAGAAGCCAGCACUGAGCUAUGUUUGCACCCUAGUGGAGAUGGGUCGGGCGAGCACGAACGGGUCCAAUAUGACGGCCGCGUCAGGGAGUGUCGAUCUACCCCAGACGAUAGGGCUAACUAUGUGGGGUCCGGUUGGGUGGCAAUUAUGGGCUGAGUAGUGACCGGGCUGUCCGCCCAUACGUUUGGGAGGAUAUGAGUGCUCCUUUGUACAUGCUUUAAAUCUGGGCAUGAGAAGCCGCACCUGCCGGUGCCUAUGCUGGGCUUGUCCCUCUUAGCUGGAAAGCCCCAAAAAGUCAAGGACCUUAUUUUUGGGAUUUUAUAUGAGAAAUAGGUAUGGUAUUGUAUCAAUUUGUCCUAAAAUAAUUCUUUUAUUAUAUUUAAAUAAAAAUAUAGCCAUUUUCGUGGCCAAGCGAGGUGGGAUAAGACCCGGGCUCGGAAUUUUCAGGCCGGGAUCUAGCAGGUCCGUCAGUUUUAAUCAAUUUAUUUCUUUUUCAGUUCUAAGCUGUUUUAAGUACCUGGUCAGCAAUCUCUAACCAAUGAUAAGAUAACAAGACUAGGCCUACUAUCAAUUUUCAUAGUCAAUUGUGUCCCUGGUCACAUUACUCCAAUCCAUCUAUAUUUAUGCGUGCUCAUAACCAGUUCACCUUGUUUGAAAUAAGCCCAGUUAUGUUUCCUUUUUGCAAGAAAGUACCGCAUUUAUAUUAAAUGACUUCCAACAUCCCGGAAAACAGAUCGUCGACGUGGUCCAGUGCAUCACAGGUGGCAACAAUGAACUGAAAGAAAUUGCGAAAUUUAAGGUAGUUGUUAGUGGCAGGAUCUAGUUUGAAGGUGAUCUAGGAAUGGAUGUUGGUUUUAUGGACGGUAUGGGGGCCUAGAGUUAGGAAAAAGGAUUGAGAGGGUAAUAGAGAGAGCACCAGCUACAGUAUUGAGGGCACCAUGGAGCUGAGAAACUGGGAGAGGUUUAACACCCUCUGGUUCUGAAGAAGAAGAAAAAUAAUACCACAAGCCUGCAAAGUAAACCAACAUAUAGAAUUAAGAAGCAAUUUAACAAUACUUAGUGGGCAAUCUCCGUGACAACCAUCAAAAUAUUGCUAUGCUGUUAAGGAAUUAUUUCUUUGAAUAAGCUUGGUACUAGUUGUAAUAGUUGCAUGUUGUCUAAUAUGUGACGUUAGUAAGGAAUUGCGUCAAGCAAAUUAUAGCAUCUUAAUUAUCAUAUUACCAAGACCUGAAGAUAUAUACAACCUUGAAGCCUUAAGAGCUAGAGCCAUUGCCUAUUUUUUCUUAGAAAUUGGGCCAACCCUGUCGCGUACGGAUUUAUUUAGUAGUAAUUAUUCUGUAUAUUUUCAUGGAUAUAUAGGAAUAGGCAGUGUAUAUGUGGAGUGCACACAAUCUUGUUCAACUUUUCUUUGCUGGAAGUAAGCUGUUUUAAGUACUUGGUCAGUAAUCACAAAUCAAUGAUAAGAUCGUAAGACUGGGCCUACUAAUAUAAUCCCUCCGUCCCAAAAUUCUUGUCUUAUAUUUGUCUAGAUACGGAUGUAUCUAAUACUAAAAUGUGACUUGAUACAACCGUAUUUAGACAAAUCUAAGACAAGAAUUUUGGGACAGGGGAGUACUUUCAAAGUCAACUGCGGCCGCUAGUCAGAUGUGUACCACAAGACAGUUACAUAUAUCAUGCUCAGCACGAGUUCACAUUGUUUUAAAAGCAACCCAGACAUAAGUAUGAGUGUUAGUUCAAACAUAUUUGUAAAAGAACACUCGUUUAUACACUUUAGGAGUUAAUACAUUCAUGAGUGGUUUUUUCAUCAUGUAACUGGCACGGAGUGUUACUGAAUAUAACUUUAUUAUUUAUUACAUUUCUUAGGAUUCUUCCUAUCAUGAAACUAGCGGUACUGCCUGCUCAGUUGCGCGGCAAGAUUUUGAUUUGUCAUUUUAAAUUUGGAAACUAUAUUUUGGCAUUUUAAAUAUUUCUUAACACUUUGUAAAUAUGCAUUCUUGUAAUUACCUAAUUGCGAAUGAGGAAUUCAUCAGCAAAGGAAUGCCAAGAAAUAGUCGGUCCCACAAAAAAGGCUGAAAUUAAGUGUUUUUACUAAAAGACAUUCAAUUAGAACAUAUCAUGUAAGAAGGCCUAAAUUCAUCCAUACAUACGCAUUAAGUAUACUUGUGGGGUUAACAAUUUUAAGCAUGUAUACAUGUACAUCUAUUAUCUAUUAUAUAAUUAAGACAAGAGGCAAACAAGCCAUCACGUUCGUCCACAUAUGAUAAUAUUUUGUACACCGUUUCAUUAGAAUAAUAACGGUUGAGAUUUAAAGAUUCUUACGUAACAUCGUAAAAUAGAUGUGCCAGUACAAUUGAACUGUCAUGUUGUCAUGUUAUAUGCAUGUAUAAGCAUUAGGUAUGUAAAAAGAAGAAAAAAAGAGUAAAAAGACAUAUUGGUUUGUCGCGUUACAUGUACCGUCACGUAAAAGAGAUGGACACAGAAGGGUGCAAAUAACCAUGACGUGCACACAUGUACAUACAUGAAUAAGAGUUCUAGGAAAACUAAAGAUGAAAGUAGGGUCACGUGAGAAUUAGAAAGGGAAACCUAGGGGACGAAACUAGAACGUGAAGGCAGACUUCAACUUGGACACGUACAUGUUCUCAAAAAAAAAAAACUUGGACAUGUGCAUGUAACGGAGAAAAAAGCUUUGCAUGAAGGGUAUUCACUGGAAAAGAAUAUGCAUAUGUAAAUCUACCAACUUACAAGGAAACAUACUAAAAAGUCUAGCGUUCUAACGCAUAGCAUAAAAACCUUAUACUCUAUACUGUUACACAACAAAAAAUCAGCUAUUAGGCUCAAAUUAAAAUUUAACCGGUAGAACUGCACAUGCAAUUCAAACUAAAUAUAUUAUUGGUAAUUAGUCAUUCGCUAAUUUAUGAGAAGACGCUGCAAGACAACAAUAUAUUACCGAUUUUAUAUGAAUAUACACCAAUAGUUUUUUUUAAAAUAUACACCAACAGUUCUUAGCCUUAUAUGGUCAGGCUACAUAAACAAUUAGAGUACGAGGACUUUGUCAAGAACAUUUAGAAGCAUGUGUCGAAAGCCGAUAUCGAUGAUACUGCACUAUCUAUAAAAGGAAUGCACAACAAAUAGAGGUACACAACAUAAAUCUUACAUAUUUAAUUGAUGAUGAAAUGAUUUGGCGUGGUAAGAAUCUAAGAUAGGUGUAAUUGGUCACCUUUCGUCGGGCAUCGGUGGAUGUCGAAAGGAUUUCAACCUAAAAGACACACAUUUCAAGUAUAAUAUUUUUUGUAUUUAAAAAUCACAUAUCAGUGGCAAUGUGGCAUUCGACUUAACAUUUAUGUGUUGGAGGAAAUAGCGACUAACCAAGAGCAGUAGAAAUGUGGAAUUUGAUUAGUGUUAUGGGACAAGCGGCUAGCUUGGUAAGCUACCAACAAAAAAUUGCAAUCAAUGAUUAGUGUUAUGGAAUUAUAUGGCUUAGUAUUGUAAGGUGCUGAUCUCCAUGACAUAGCACACUUGAAAGAAGUAUUGUUAAACUGACGAUUCCAAGGUCUUAUGGCUUUCUCGGAGAUGCACAUUUUGGUCAUACGUUACUAUAUAAUAUAAAAGUUGGUGUUGAAAACAAUACUACAUAACAAUUAGACUCGAAUGAAUGAUAGAGAAUAUUUUACCAAAAGAAGAAAUCAAGCAUUAAUUAAGGAAAAAUCUGUGUCCUGCCUUUUUUUUGUUUUGAAAUCCGGUUAUAUUCAAAUAACUGGGCAGUGGGCACCAUUAGAACUGAACAAGCCCUGGACAGCCCAAGCGAGAAUAUUGUAUCAACUUUAACCAUGAAGUGGCUUUGAUAGUUACCUCACAAUGAGAAGAUGUACAAGCAUAUAAACGUAUAUAUGGAUAUAUGACAUGUAUUUAUAAGAACACAUGUGCAUAAACAGACGGUGUAUUGCUACAAGCCAACAAUUAAUGUUUAGAUUUUAUUGACAAAAAUUCUACAAGAAUAUUUGGUGAAAAGAUAAAUGAAAAUGGAUUUGAGAAGGUGGAAUAGUGAAAGCCACGUAUUAGUACAAAAUCAUAUGGUUUUCCAUGGUGGGACACAUGCCUUGGUUCUGUCUAUCUUUGAUUGCCAUAAUAACCCAGUCUGUACCAACAUCUUUAUACAUAUUACAAAAAUAUACGAUGUGAACUUUGGUGAUGAUUUAUAUAGAUAUAAAAAAAAUGUAAUUGGUUAUAUAAAUAUUUAUAUAAUGACAGAUCAAAUAAAAGAAGAUACAUAGAGAAAUAACAGCACAAAACAUAUAAUAUAAAUAAAGGAAGUCUAGCCGCGCAAACGCGCGGGUCACUAUAUAUAAAAUAGCUGGGCAACUAAGUUUUGGUGAACUUAUUGUGGAAGUACAUGUCGUCCCACGUUAUAUGAAGUGUGUGGUCGUUCUUGUCAUUAAGUAAGGAUACCCAUUCAGAGCAGGAUGCUUUAUGGCUAAGCUCCUAUAUUACUGCCGGCCCAAGUUGAUGACAGAGAAACUCCUGAUCAAACAAGCUGAUAUACGGGAGCACAUCACCUUGUCGAUGCUAUGGAGGAACUUGACGCCGAGACCGCGAUUAGUCAUCGCUUGAUCAAUAUCUGCGAGGAACUUGAGCUGCUACCCAUACUUGGUGACAGACAUGGUGCUCUCCUUGAGCAUGUGGUACUUGACGCUAAGACUGAUGAUGUGUGCGGAGUUAUUGUUGAGGAAGUACUGGUGGAGGCGAUUCCAUGCCGACAAGGCAAUGCCGUCAUUGGACAUCGCAAGUCCAGAAGACCAUCGUCGAUCAUGGUAUAGACCCACAACAUGAUCCUGAUGUCAGCACGCUGCUACUCGGGGUCAUCAAUUUCAAGUUCAGAUGUUGAAUAAUGUGGUUGAGUUCGGAGGCGGGGAGGACGAACCAGAAGAAAUGCACCAUUUAUGGUAGUUGUUGACAACUUGGGUCGAGUUUAAAGGUGAAGUAGGACUGGAUGUUGGUAUUAUGGACGACAAUCGGGCAUGAAGUUUGUAAAAGGGGUUGGGAGGUAAGAAGAGGGAGUAGAAGAAAUAGUGGCGACGGGCGCCAUGGCAUCAACAGAGAAACAUGGAGAGGUCUUGGGGGUUUGCGCCAUAAGUGACGUGGUGCUGGAGUUGGUCUGGCUGUUGUUCACUGGUGUUACCAAGCUGAACUCAGUAAUAUGUAUUGUUUGCCUCAAGGUUUACAAGUGUAAAUGUGCACAAUAUAUAGAGAAAGGUCACAGAGAGAGGCCUAACUAACUUCAACANNNNNNNNNNNNNNNNNNNNNNNNNNNNNNNNNNNNNNNNNNNNNNNNNNNNNNNNNNNNNNNNNNNNNNNNNNNNNNNNNNNNNNNNNNNNNNNNNNNNNNNNNNNNNNNNNNNNNNNNNNNNNNNNNNNNNNNNNNNNNNNNNNNNNNNNNNNNNNNNNNNNNNNNNNNNNNNNNNNNNNNNNNNNNNNNNNNNNNNNNNNNNNNNNNNNNNNNNNNNNNNNNNNNNNNNNNNNNNNNNAUGGGCUCUAGUACAACACGGUUGAGUUACAACAGUACAUACAUAUGGUGCGUAGAUGUUUAAUAAUAUUGAUUUGAAUUCAUGUAUGACGGGGUAACAAAUGGCAAAGAUUAACAAUAACAUUAGACUGCCUGCAAUAGGAAUAUCAUACUAGCUAGUAUCAUGCACGACAACUAAGCAUUUUUUAUGAGGUGAAUAUAAAUGAAGAAAAAAAGAGUCCAGUAUUAUAUCAUGAUAUCGUAUCAUAAUAAAUGUUAUGCUCCUAUGUGUCAUACAUAACAACAAAUAAGGCCAUAUCUAAGAUACUAAUACACGAUAUUAUGCAUUAUAGAGGUAAUAUGAUAGAAUAGUAUCAUAUGCAUGAUAUGAACUUAUGAUAUGUACAACUCAUUACGGGAGCCUUAGCCACGCAAAUGUAUGGGUCAUUUUGCUAUAAAUGAUCCUUCUGACGUCAAACUGCACGCAUUAUUGCACAGAUCACUUGCGUAGAAUUUAGCACAAAAAAUAUUGGUGCGCAGGGUAUAUGCUAUAUCAAAGUCAACCACAGUUAAUUAAGUGACACGAAUAAGAACUAGCUGUAUUCGCAAAAAAAAUGAAUAAGAACUAACUAGGUUUUCUUAUUAUUUUAUUGGCGGUGUAGUACUAGCUAUCCAGCUAUGGCUAUCCUCGCAUUGGCUCCCUAUAAAUAGCAUCCUGCUCCCUCAUAUGGACAUGUACCAGUUAAGCAGCCAGCUAGCUCAUCUCCAUUGCAUCUGUUCUUGCUCUAUUCUCCAUUAGAACCUCCCAAUUCAUCAAUGGCUUCAUCUCUGAAGGUGGCCGCUGUCGUCGCGGUUUGCAUCCUGCUUGUCCUGAACAUGGGCCAGCCGGCGGCAGCCACAGAAUGUGAAGAUUGUCUAGGCGCCUGUGUUGGCAUCUGCAUCGCCUACGCUGAAACAUCAUGCACCGGCAUAUGCACCGCCAUAACUCCUGCAUGUCAGGCAUGUAAGGACGCGGCCUUAAUUGAGUGCGGUGCAACAUGCUAUGGCGGUUGUACCCUCCUCUGCUAAACCACCGGCCGGCUGUGCCCUGUUGCUCGCCGUAAGCUAGGUGCAUGCUUGUGUUCGUUGUUACUUCGUUGUUGCUAUUAUAAGCCAAAUAAGCGAACUAAUGCCGUUGCUGUGUGCAUGUGGCAAAAGUUCCUUCGUUUUAUUGUUCCACCUCGUUUCAACCAUCAGUAAAUAUACUUGUGUGCAAGUUGUGUAUGUUUUGUGCUUCUUCGUACAUAUCAUGUGUCCAAUGUGUUGUCAUACUUAAACAAUAGGGAUAUAUCCUUAUCAAGAGAACGCAGUUCCAAAGUAUGUAGUUUCGCUUCCCUCACGGUAGGGUUUCUUCUUUCACUCAGCGCCUCAUAGUGGCGUAAAGAUUGCAUCUAAUUCCUUCACAACUUGUCUUCUUCCAGCAUAAAACUCCGUCCUAAAUUUUCUAUGAUUUUUCUUGUUCACCGAAAAUACUAGUUUCCUUUGCUGUGCUUGAUCGUUCAUGAAUUAUUCCAACUAGUUCCAUGCAAGACUAGUUUAAGACCAUGGACGGAUUAAUGUUAAGUGGUAGCUUAUUAUAUUGAUGCCAACUCCAUUAUAUGUAGAAGGGUUGACACCAUGGGCCCGCAAAGUAAACCAAUAUAUGGAAUUAAGCAUGCAAUUUAGGAAUACUUAAUGUGUAGUCUCCGUGGUAGCGACCAAAAUAUUGCAAACAGCGAUUUUCUAAUGCUAAGGAAUCAUUACUUUGAACAAGUUUCUCGGUGCUAGUUGCGUGUAGUCUAAUACGUAGUGGCAUUCAUGAGGAAUUGUGCCAAUCAAUGGAUAAUAUCUUAGUAGUCGCAUAUUACUCCGUCCAUUUGAAAAUACUUGUCGAAGAAAUGAAUAAAAAUGGAUGUAUCUAGAAGUAAAAUACGUUAGACACAUCCAUUUCAACGACAAUAUUUCUGGACCGCUCAUUGAUAUGGUCUAAUCUAGCAAGAACUACUAUUACAAGUACUUCGCAGCUACGUGCACCUGCUUCAUCGAGCAGGUUUACAUUCGCGGGGUGGGUAAUAAAAUGAGCGGCCCUGGUGUGCCCUAGUCGUAGUUGCCGACAUGCAUGGGUCAGCCGCUACGUACUUUCUUGCGUGUAAAGAGUGACCAAUGACACAGAUUGCGUGUAAAGAGUGCCUCUCAGCAGAAAAGCCCCCAAAAUCCCAUGAGACCUUAUUUUUGGGAUUUUAUAUGAUAACUAUGUAUGAUACUGCAUCAAUUAAUCACAAAAUAAUUUAUUUAUUAUUUUUAAAUAUAAAUAUAACUAUUUUGUGCCCAAGGGAGGUGGGGUCAGACCCUGGCCUCGGCAUUCUCAUACCGGUUCUGGCAGGCCCAACCAUUUUAACAUAUUUAUUUAUUUAUUUAUUCCGUGACUAAGCCGUUUUAAGUACUUGGUCAGCAAUCUCUAACCAAUGAUAAGAUCACAAGACAAGGCCUACUAUCUAUCUUCAUAGUCAACUGUGCCGCUAGUCACACUACUCCAAUCCAGUUAUAUUGAUGCGUGCUCAUCAUCAGUUCACCAUGUUUUAAAGCAACCGAGUUAUCUUUCUUUUUUGCGUGAAAGCUCCGUCUUUAUAUUAAAAUACUUCCAACAUUCCGGAAAAAAUAUCGUUGAUGUGGUUAAGAAGCAAUUUAACAAUACUUAGUGGGCAAUCUCCAUGACAACCAUCAAAAUAUUGCUAGCUAGUUUUCUAAUGCAAAGGAAUUAUUGCUUUCAAUAAGCUCGGUACUAGUUGCAUUGUUGUCUAAUAUGUGACGUUGGUAAGAAAUUGCCUCCAGCAAAGGAUAACAUCUUAAUUAACAUUAAGAGCUAGAGCCUUGCCUAUUUUUUCCUAGAAACUGGGCCAACGUUGUCGCGUACGGAUUAAUAAAGUAGUAAGUAUUCUGUAUUUUCUCAUUGAUAUAUAGGAAUGGACCAGUGUAUAUGUGGAGUGCACACAAUCCCUUGCUGGAACUAAGCCGUUUUAAGUACUUGGUCAGCAAUAUCAAACCAAUGAUAAGUACACAAGACUGGGCAUCCUUUAUAACACUAAGCUCCCUAGUUUUAAUGAGCGUACAUUCAAUUGAGGUUUCCAGUUAAAAUUGAGUCCCGAUUUUGACCGAGUCAACAAUUUCUCAAAGCCCCAUGAUUCUAUUCUUUUAUUGCUUUCUAAUUUUUUAGGCCUCACAACUAAUUGAUGUAUUAAAUUUAGAAUUGGGUCAUCCAAAUUUGAUCGAGUCAACAAUUUCUCAAGCUCACACUUUCAAUUCUUUUCAUUCACCAUAUUCCAAAAUUUUGAAGCUCUCAUUCAAUUGAGGUAUUCAAUUUUGAUUUGGUUUACUGUUUUGACUGGUCCAACGAUUUUUCAAAUCAAUCAACAACAACCGACCUAUAAAAACAUAUCAAUCCUCCGCACCCUCCCACCACCUAAAAGAAGCAUCGUCAUGUGAUACUAUAGCAUCAAUAUAGUACAUGCAAUCAUCGACACGGAAAUGUCCACACAUAAUUAUAGGUUGUUUAGCCAAUAACACGGAAUCACACCAUGAAAGGCGCACCAAAUCACCGCAUUAUAAGUAAAAAUAAACCACACUAUCAUCUCUUCCACCCGCCAAACUAAAUAUUCCAUCAGCUAUAAAAUAUAAGGGGUCCCCAACACGCACGAGGAUUAGCCCCCGCGUCGUCUUCCUGGCGGCUCGGGGGAGAAAAAACCCUAGCCACCGCGACUCCUCCCCCUCCCCUCCUAGUCUCGCCGCCGCCGGAGGGGUCGCCCUGGAAAAGGCCGGGCGGCCUUGAGGAAGCUGGCGGCGGGGCAACGAUUCCCUUUUGGUGGCGCGAGCAUGCGAGAGCUCCGCGCGCGGCAGAGGAGUUGCGGACGGCGGCAGCCACCGCCACGGGACGGGAAAAGCACGGCGAUCCAGUUGGCCUGGCGCUGCGGGCGCACCAUGCGUGGCGACGGUGUGGCCUAUGAUCUCCUACUUGGCGGCUUGGAUCUGGGGCUUCUGAUCUGGGUCGGGCAUCCAGGUUGGGGCUUUGCCUGGUGUCACGGUGACGGCUACUCUGCUGCGUGCUGGCCUGUUGGUGGUGGCCGGCCAGGAGGCGGCGGUGGAUCUGGCUUCAGAUCUAUCCGGUGGCAAGUUUGGAGUGGCAAGACUUUCAGAGAAAACCAAGCCUCAACUACGGUCAUGGUGGACGAUGGCGGCGUCUUUUGGCGUCGUUACCUUGUCGAAGGCAUCGUCAUAGCAAGUCGCGUCACUCCUUUCGGCCUGCUCUGGGGGAAACCCUAGAUCUGUUGUCAUGGAUCGGGCGAUGGCGACGUCAGGCACCGCGCUCCUUGCUGGGGGCAUCGUUUUGGAGCAGGUACCGACUUGGGUGGACAGGUGGUGGAGCGGCGUGGUAUCUAUCGCUCAUCAACGACUGGUCUCGGCGGCGUGGCGCAGCGGGGUCUCGCUGACAGAUGCGAGAUGAUGGACGCCCGCAGGGGGGCGGCGCUGUCUGGCGUCAUGGUGGUGUCGACAGCAGCUAGACCCGGCGAGGUAGAUGCAAUAGUACAUCACUGAAAAUGGAUUGGUGGCAGGUGGCUGCGACGGCCUCAUACCUGGUAGGCGUCCUGGUUGAGGAGUACGCCGGACUGGUGGGUGCCCCAUACCCGGCAGACGUCCUCGUUGGGACCUCAGGUCUUAGAUGUUUGGUUUGGUUGUGAGGUAUGUUUGUUAUUAGGCCCAGACUAUCAGCAUCCCUUCAUCAACUGGAUUGGAGUAAUGACAGAUGUUGCCUAGACGGUGACUUUAGUCUUACUAUUGUAUGACUUUGUAAGGUCUUAUGUGAAUAAUUAAUAAAGUGGAUGCAUGCAUCGUCCAGAUGCAGAGGCCGGGAGUCCUUCUCCUUUUCUAAAAAAUAUAAUAAAAUAUAAAGGGUAUUAGGUUUUUAGAAAGACAAAUUUCUUUAGCUUUGACCAAGUUUAAAGCAAAACAUCGACAUCCACAAUAUUAAACAAAAAAAAAGUAUGGAAAUUCAAUUUUUUUUGAUGAAUCUGAAAAUACUGAUUUGAUAUUAUGGAUUUUGAUAUAUUUCUUUACAAAUUUCAUCAAACUUAAAAGGUUUGACUUUUCAAAAACAAUAAUACAUCUUAUAUUUUGAAAAGUGUGAUUAUUUUUUUAACAAAACCAACAAACACGAAAGUAUAUUUUGGUAUAUUAAAUAUAUAUUUUUGCUUUGAAAAUAUAUAUUUGUUGUAGUCACCUUGUUUUGUAUGAGGAAUUCAUCAGCAAGGAGUGCCAAGAAAUAGUCAGUUGUACUAAAAGCUGAACUUUCAAUGCUUUUAAUAGAAAGAACAUUCGUACAUAUUAUUUAAGAAUGCCUAAAUUGAUCCUAUGCAUGUAGUAAGAACACCUGCGGUGUUAUAUUAUUAAGUAUGCAGAUGUAGAUUAUAGGAUAAUUGGACAACUAAGUAUUCGGGAUUACUCUGGAAAUACACAGUAUGAUCUUCAUAUCGUUAUACGAAGUGUGUAUAGCCCUUUUUACUAGUGAGUAAGGGUGCUCAGUCAGAUCAGAAUGCUUUAUGGUCGAACCCGGACUGCCAACAGGAGUUGAUGACUGAGAAAUCUUCGAUUAAACAAGGUAAUCAUGAGCACCCAUAAUCUUGUCGGUGUCAUGGAGGGAACUAGAGGAAGAGAUUCCGAUCAGUCGUGGCCUCAUCAACUUCAGCAAGGGAAUCACCGAGGAACUUGGACUAUGAUGCAUACUCAGCGACCGACAUGGUGCCCUGCAUGAGAAUGCAGUACUUCCUGUUAAGAUGAAUGGCGUGGGUGGCAUUGUUGUUGAGGAAGUACUGGUGGAGGCGAGUCCAUGCUGAUAAGACAAUGUCGUCGGAGGACAUUGCCAGGUCCAGAAGACUACCGCCGAUAGUUGUGUAGAUCCAACAGAAGAUCCCGGUGUCGGUACAUCGCAGCUUGGGAUCGUCGACGUAAAGUUUGAACGUCAUGUUAAUGUGGUCGAGUACAACGCCGUAACGCAGGUGGAGAGGAUGAACAGCAAGAAAUCAGACGUUUAUGAUAGUUGUUGGUGGGUGGGUCCAGUUUGAAAGGGAUGUAAGAGUGGAUGUUGGUAUUGUACACGGCAAUGGGGGCCUGAAGUUUGAAAAAUUAAUUGGGAGGGUACGAAGAGAGAGUUGAAGCAGUGGUGAUGAUGGGAACCAUGGCGCCGACAGAGAAACUAGGAGAGGUCUGCAAGGUUUGCGCCAAAAGGGAGGUGGCACUGGAAUUGGUCUGGGUGUUGCUCAAUGGCGAGCAGAUGGCUCUGAUUACAAAGGUGAAUUAUAUAAUGCUUGCAUCCAGGUUUACAAGUGUCGAUGUACAACACAUCAGAUAAUGAAUAGAGAGAGCCCUAACUAACUGCAACAUACGGAAAAAGGCACCCACAGGUGCACGAGAGAUCUUCGAUCCUAACCUCUAAGGACUAUGGUACAACACGAGCUUUGCUAUACCUGCGGGGGCUCGUGUGGGGAGGGGGUUACGUAAUGUUUUGCCAAUUUCUAAUUGUUCAUUGGUGGGGGCGUGGGGCCCAUCCUAAAAUUCAGGGGUGUGUUUGAUUAGUUCAGAAUGAAGUUACGUAGGAUGCAUUACGUAGUUCUAGCAUGUUUGGUAGUACGGGUACAACGGUACAUACAGAUGAUGCAUUGUUUAACAAUAUUAAAUUGAAAUCAUGUACUACAAGGGUUAGCAAAUGGCAAAGACUAACAAUUCUCAUGUCAAAGUGCAAACAUUCAAUCAUUGGUGCACAAUGAACAUAUGAUAUUGAAGUCAACAACAGUUAAAUUAAACAAUAUGGAUCGCACUCAAAAAAUAUUUAAGUGAUACAGAUCAGCAAAUUUGCUAGUUCUGGUUUUUUUUUUGUGAGGUGGAGAAAGAAUGCUAGCUAGCUAGCUAGCUAGUUCUGGGUAGUCCUCACGUUGGCUGCCUAUAAAUAGCAUCCUGCACCAUCAUAUGGGAAUGCACCAGUUAAGCAGCUAGCUAACUCAUCUCCAUCCAUCGCAUCUCUUCUUCCUCAAUCCUCCACUAGAACCACCCACCCAAUUCAUCAAUGGCUUCAUCUCUGAAGGUGGCCGCUGCCGUCGCCGUGGCCGUUUGCGUCGUGCUUGUGCUGAACAUGGGCCAGCCUGCGGCAGCCACAGAAUGCAAAGAUUGUCUCGCCGACUGUGUUGACGUUUGCGUCGACUACUCUGACACUGCGUGCAGUGGCAUCUGCACCGCCAAACCUCCUGCAUGCCAGUCAUGCAAGUACACGUCCUUCCUUACAUGCGGUGGCACAUGCUACGGCCCCUGUGCCCACUUCUGCUAAAGCCUAUAGUGGCUGUAAGCUGUCUGUGUGUGUUGGUACCUCGUUGUUGCUAAGCCAUGUAAAUAAGUGAACAAAUGCUAUUGCUCUGUGCAUAUGGCAAAUGUUCCUUCGUUUUAUUGUUCCCCUUUGUUUCAACCAUCAGUAAAUAUACAUGUAUGUGUGCAAGUCAUGUACUCCUAUAUAUGCUUUCUGCUUCUUUCUAUCAUGUUUCUGACCUGCUCAUGCUGGGGUGGAUAUCAGGUGAUACCACCUAUUACAUGCUCCCAUGCUAAAAAAAUUAAAAAGUCAUAGUUAGAUGUUUCAAAAAAAUUGAAAACAAUUAUGGAUGUUCACAAGACAUACGCCUAUAACCCCUAAAAAUUCAGAUCAAAAUUCGAAAUAUACAUUGAGAAACAAAAAGACAAAUCUAUAUGUCAUGUUUUGUCUUCUUUUACACUAUUCAUUCUAGAUUUUUCAUUUUUGUUUCUCAAUAGGUAUCUCAAAUUUGGGUCAGACUCUUUUAGGGGUCGUAGUCAUAUGUCUUGUGAACAUCUACAAAGUUUUUCAGAACAUCUAAAUGUGAUUGAUAGCUAGCAUAAAUAUCCAUCCAUGAUAGAUCCUUCUUCCUUCCACUCCGCCAUCAUGGAUUGGACUUGGCUUUGGCUUUGGGGCUGGUUCAUCUGAAGUGCUCCCAGACAUAGAGCUCUGACCUAUUUUCCUAAGAAAUUGGACCAAUGUUUUCAUACUGACGAAUUUAGGAAUAGUUCUGCUGCAUUUUGUUCAUUGAUAUAUACGGAUAGGGCAGUGUAUAAGUGGAGUACUUCGCUGAUGCCAGCAAGUUAGUAACCAUCACUUACACGCGUUAACAAAUUCUUCUGUAACAAGUAGUUUAAUAUCAUUCACAAAUUAAUGUCAAGUGGUAGUAGCUUCUUCUAAUAAUGUCAACUCCAUUCACCAAUCAUUCAGGAUCAUGACAAAUCAAAGAAGGUUCCACACCUUCAUAAAUUUGGCGCCACCUUUUACCGAUUAUAAAGAUCCAAAUUUCAGCGAUUGUGUUGUGGAUGCUCUUAAUCUUGUAUUGUUUCAUCCAUUGACACACCCAUUCCGUAAAUGAAACGAUUGAAACAACUUUUAAUAUUAGAGUUAGUGAUGACAAAUUCAUGAAAUUUAUUUUUUAGGGUGUUUUAAAAUAAAAAACAAUGUGUCCUUACCUGAGCAUUUUUAAGUGAUUUUGGGAAGUGAAAUCACACAAGAACACUGUGUGAGAGCCGAAAAUAAAAAAGAAAUGUAAAAGAGUUAGUACAUCGGGCCUGCGUGACCAUCUCCAUGGUACAGCUAGGCUACUGCUGGAGAACGUUUCCCACAGCGCUUACAAGCCCUAAUAUCUACUCCUCCAUCCAGAAUUACUUGUCGCAUAAAUAGAUGGAAAUGAAUGUAUCUAGAAUUAAAAUACAUCUACAGACAUGCAUUCUUCCGACAAAUAUUUUCGGACGGAGGGUGUAUCUUGGGCCAGUGACCAGCAACAUCAGAUAGCAUUAGUUAUCUUCUCUCCUUUCCAUAAAGGGAGGAAUGAUCGGGCCAAGGUCGCCUAAUUUUGCCAUGGCCUCUAGCCAACCACCCCAUCGGGCGUAGCCAAGCCAUGAACGCUUCUCUUCUCUCUUACCGGAGCCUGAUUUUUAGGCUAAGUAUCGUAACUAGUAUCAGACAUGCCGAUUAUGCAAUUUUAAUGAGGUGGCAUAGAAAUCUAUAAUACUAUGCAUUACGGAGGUAGUAUCAUACACUAGCAUAUGAUACUAAUAUAUGAUACUCCCCACUACAACCAGCCUAAGUAAUCAGGUGCUCCAAAGUGAAAAUGUGUGUCUAGUGUGCAUAAUAAAGUGCCUAGGUGGACAAUACAUGCAUGUCCAUCCUUGGGCAGCAUAGCAGCCAACCCUACCCUACCACAUGCUGGCAAUUGUUUAUUAUGUUGAUCUCAUGUCAGUGUGGCCAUGCGAGUGUUAAUUAAGUAUUACUAAUACUUGUCGUUCAAACGGAUGUAUUUAGAAACAAAGUGAGACCUUCAUCUCGUGAGAAAGACCGCCGAUGGCUACCGGCCAUCGCCCUCGCGCCAGGAAGAGUACGUUGCCGUGCAGUCCGCCGACGUGGAAGACAAGUUUAUCAAGUUUAUCAAUUCUACUUGCAUAUAGUACUCCCUCUGUUUUUAUUUAGUUCGCAUAUUAGCUUUGGUCAAAGUCAAACUUUACAAACUUUCAUCAAGUUUAUUAACAAAAAUAUUAUGAUAUACAAUAACAAAUCAACAAUAUUAGAUUUAUUAUUGGAUGUACUUUCACCUCGAAUAGAUUUAUUAUGAUAAAUGUCUAUAUUGUUUUCUAUAGACUUGGUCAAACUUUACGAAGUUUGAUUUUAGUCAACUCUAAUAUGCGGAGUAAAUAAAAAUGAAGGGAGUAUAUUGUCUAAUAAGUAAUAACCUUCGUAAGGAAUUGCGCGGAUCCAAGGACACCAUCUUAAUUAGCAUACUACUAAGAUUCGAAGAUAUAUGCUAUGCAUAUUAGAUUCGCCUCAAGUCAAACUUUAUAAAUUUUGAUCAACUUCGUCCAAAAAAUUGUGAACAUCCACAAUAUGAAAUCAACAUCACUAAAUGCCGGCCUAGAGAGACACGAGAGCUUCUACGUGGCAUGCCAUCAACCUUCAACCCGGGUAGUGCGAAGUCAACCGCUCGAGCUGAUUCCAUCCAUGCACGCAUCAGGCCGACCUCCAACCGGGAUAGAUGCCCUUAAGGCAUAUACAAUGGUACUAUCUUAGAAAUGUCAUGUAGGAUAAUUACUAGGAUAAAGGAAAGAAAAACAAAUAAAAAAAGUGUUCCAUUUCUCUUACUUAUGAGAUGAUCUGUUAGCCCCAUAUCUUUUACCAUUACUCCUUGCAUAUGAGAAUAUAUUUUUAUUGCGGAUAAAACUAAGAGAUACCCCAUUCUACCCGUGAUUUUAUUAUCAUCUCUAAACUACAUGGUAGGCUUCAAAGAUAAAAUUGUUUUUUCAACCAUUGUACAUGCCUUUAGUAGGUUUUUGGCUGGGGUACCAAGUAUAGUUUUUCAAGAAAAGUCUCCUUCCUCCUUCCGCCAGCGCUGCUGCCGAUCCGCCCCACCUCCAAUGGCCCUUGGGCCGUGGAGGUGCGGAGGACCUCGGCGGGAGGGACCCCGUUCUCUUUUUCGUUAGGUUCAAUGUCUUGAUUGGAACUGUGUGGCGGUGGCGAUGUCCCUCUGUACAAAUAAUGUCACCCACGUCAUAUCCCUGUCCCAAUGGUGCGGAUAGCAUCGUCGGAGGAUGUGUGGAGGUGUGUCUUCAUCAGAUCUCGUGGAAUUCGGUCGGUGCUAGUCUUCGGUGGAUCUAGUUGGAUCCAGUUUUUGGUUAUCUUCGUUCAUGUGGUUUCAGGUUUGAUCUUUCUGAUCUGCAAGUCUCUUCAUCGGUGAUGGUUGCUGCUCUAGUGCACGGUUCUUUUGGGGCCUUGGCACGAUGACUUCCUGGUUGUCUACUAUAACAAGGUUUGUCCGGCCCUGGUGAGGCAGGGGCGAUGAUGGCGGCAAGCCUUCGGCUCGUUCCAAUGCUUGUAGUCGUUGGUAGGUGGUUCAUAGGCCUGGUUGUAAUUUUAUUACAUUUUGUGUUCUCUGUAUUGCCAUGAUUGAUGAAUGGAUUGGAAAUUUCUCUCGAGACAAAAAUUAGGUUUUUGGCUAAUAGUGAUAAAUUAUGUGGCAUGCACAUGCGGCGGUACCAUAAUCAAGGUGCCUUCACGUGCUACGUGGAUGGACAUGCAUAGCCCUACCACGUGCUAUUGUUUAAGUUGAGCUCAUGUCAACAAACACACCGCAAAUUAAUCUAGUUGGUCAAACCAAAUCAAUAGAUCGAAGAAGAAAUACAGAGCUAUAACAAUCAUGCAUAAAAGAGUUCGGAGAAAACUCAAAUAAUAUUCAUGAAUAGAUCUGAUCAUAAACUCACAAUUUAUCGGAUCCCAACAAACACACCGCAAAAAAGAAUUACAUCGGAUAGAACUCCAAGAACAUCAAGGAGAACAUUGCAUUGAAGAGCAUCAAGAGAGAAGAAGAUAUCUAGCUACUAACUAUGGACCCGUAGGUCUGUGGUAAACUACUCACGCAUCAUCGGAAGGGCAGCAAGGUUGAUGUAGAUCCCCUCCAUGAUUGAUUCCCCCUGCGGCGGAGUGCCAGAAAAGGUCCCCGGAUGGGAUCUAUCGAGAACAGAGGCUUGCGGCAAUGAAAAAGGUAUUGUGUGGACUCCUUUGUUGGUUUCCCGAUUUUCAAGAAUUUAUAGAAGCAGAGUUAGGUAAAACAAAGCUACGUGGGUCCCACAAGCUACAGGGCGCGCCCUGGUGCCUUGUGGGCUACUGCUCCAUCUUCUCAUCCCCUCCUAAAGCUUCCAGGGUCUCUUGCCAGAAAAAAAAUCUCCAAAAAAAUUUUGUGGCAUUUAGACUUCGUUUGGUACCAAAAAAUAGCAAUUAACACUAGGCACUAAGUUAAUAGGUUAAUCCAAAAAAAUGAUAUAUAGUUGCGUGUAAGUAUAUAUAAAAUAUCCAAGAUUAAUAUUAUAAUACCAUGUAACAAUAAAAAAUUAUAGAUACGUUGAAUACAUAUCAACAGAAAAGGGUUGCGGGAAGGAUAAUGCCGGGAACAUAUUGUGGAAAAGUUUUGCGGGAAAUUGCGGGUGCCGGAAUAAAAUUACGGUCCAAAAUAUGGUUCCAUUCAACCAUUGGCUGAAAAUUUUGGUCUCAUGCAGCUGUCGUCUUAGCCUAAGCCGAUUUGAACUAAUCGGCUUCAGCCUUCUCUAUUAGUACUAAUUGGCUACGGUUAAGAUGCUUAGUUCCAAUCGGCUUAGUCUAAGAUGACUAGAGCUAGUCGGCUUAGGUUAAGCCAACUGGACACUAACCAGCUACGUCGUGGCAGAUUGGAUCUAGUCGGCUUAACCUAAGCCGAUGCUGGAUUAUUUUUAUAAUAUACAAACCGUGUAUUACUUUCCAAAUUGAUUACAAAUAUAUCAUUUUAAAAAAUUAGCCUCAUUCUACCCUCAUGUUUAGGAUUUCGUUCAUUCCAGAUUGUCUUGAUAUUUUUCUUCGGUUCACACCGUCGUAUUAAAUGACAAAAACGGUCCCAAUAAUUUGGUCAUAAACAUGGGGGCGGAAUGUGUUUCCAUCUUGAAGAUGUAUGUCCUUAAGGCGUAUACAAUAGUACUAUCUCAAAAGUGACACAUAGGAUAAUAACUAGGGUGAAGGAAAGANNNNNNNNNNNNNNNNNNNNNNNNNNNNNNNNNNNNNNNNNNNNNNNNNNNNNNNNNNNNNNNNNNNNNNNNNNNNNNNNNNNNNNNNNNNNNNNNNNNNNNNNNNNNNNNNNNNNNNNNNNNNNNNNNNNNNNNNNNNNNNNNNNNNNNNNNNNNNNNNNNNNNNNNNNNNNNNNNNNNNNNNNNNNNNNNNNNNNNNNNNNNNNNNNNNNNNNNNNNNNNNNNNNNNNNNNNNNNNNNNNNNNNNNNNNNNNNNNNNNNNNNNNNNNNNNNNNNNNNNNNNNNNNNNNNNNNNNNNNNNNGCUCGCCUACUAGCGGGGAUCCAUCCGACGGCGCUGCAAGAUCCGGUGUGGUGGGCCUCUUCGCCGGCGUCGGGGGGUGGAUCCGGGGCUGCUCAGGCCGGAUCCGGCGCGUGGUGGUGCGGUGCUGAUGGCGGCGGGAUCGAGCGCGCGAGGUCCUGCUGGUCCGAUGUCUCGUGGCGGCUCGUCAUGGCUCUGUGGUGGGCGCUGGCUGGAGGAGGAGAUGCCCGACGCAGCUGGCUGGUGAUGGCGUGUCGCUGUGAAGCGCGCAGGCCGGUGGCGGCUUGGUGCUCCUCGCCGCGGAGGCGCUCGAGCCAGGCCAGAUCUGCGCUGGCUGGAGGUGAGGGCUCAUGGCCGGCGCACGACAGGUGAGGUGGUGAUGCGGAGGGCCUGACGGGGUGUGGCAGAGGAGAUGUGGCUCGAUUUGGUGGGGGCGGCGCCAGCGGGAGGCAGUGCUGGGUUCUCACGGGCAGGUUGGUGGCGCGCUGUGAUGGCUCCGUCAAGAUGGAGCCUUGCGAGCAGCGAGCGGUCGGUCAUCCCUGUGCGGCGUGGCGAGCGGCGGUGCUUUCCUGGUGAUGCCGGCCUGGGAUUUCUCCGUGGAGAGGCGGGUCUGAUUGUCGCAAGGCCGUUCCUUGGAGUGGGUGACGGCCGUCGCGGGCAGUCCUGGACCUGGCCGGAGGUGUUGGUUGGCUGCGGACCCUCGUGCAGGCUGGGAGUGGAUGGUGUGGCCGUGGUUUCCCUGCCGGGUAGUCGGUCGUUGGUCCUCGGCUAUGCAGCUACUUCGGCAAGUGCUGCGGUGGCGGCGGUGUGAGGCUUCUUGGCAGUGCUACCAAUCCCAUGGAGGCGUGGCGAUGUGCGAAGCGCGGAUGAAAAUUUUGCACGGCUUCUGCCGGGCCGGCGGUGAUGGCACCUGUGGAUGUCAUUCCCCUCCUUGGAGGCAUCGUCGAGUUUGUUCGCCCCAUCCCUCGCGCUCUCGGUGUUGGUGGAUGUCUCCGGGUGAAAGCCUAGAUUCGAUGUUCGGAUCGACACGAUGGCGGUGUCCUCGACGCCGCUCCUCUGUUGGGAGCAUUGUGUUUGGAGACAUGACUGGUUCCUCGUUGCUCUCCUCCGGUGUUCGCCGCUAUCCUUUUCUGAUCUUCAGUGGCGCUAUGUACGUUGGUCGACGGUGAAUCCAAGGCGGUGUCUUCCCGGAUUGGAUCGAGUCCUGCCAUUCAUCUGCCACUUUCUCUUAGGCGCUCAGGGUGGAUGGUGCGUCGACAAGAGAAGUUCUGCGGAAGUGUGGUCUUCGGAGGUGUCCGGCGUCGGUCAGAGACGCGGUGCUGUGUAUCAGUUUAGGAUAGGCUUUUUGCUUUGUAGCUUGCCUAGCGGUGGUGUUUGUUUGUGGUCUUGUCGGUGUGGUGUUCGUGCUACACUCGUUGUUCGCAUCGCUUUCUUGUAACUAAAUCCUGCCUUCUAUAAAGCUAUGGUACGCCUAGGCGUACUCUCAAAAAAAAAGAAAGAGAAACAAAUAAAAAAAUGUUCCAUUUCUCUUAAUUAAAAGAUGGUCUCUCAGCACGAUUUUUGUUACCAUAUACUCCUUGUAUUUAAGAAUGUUUUUUUAUUAAAGACAAAACUAGAUGAUAAUCCAUUAUAUCCACGUGAUUUUAAGUUGGUUUUUGCCUAAUAGUGCAUGGCAUGCACAUGCGGACCAUCAUGAAGCCAUGAAGGUGCCCCCUCUGGAUGAACAUGCAUGUCCUUGGGCUGGGCAGCAGCGUGCUACUGAUACUUGUUUAAGCUGAGCGUCAUCUGAGUGUGGCCAUCAGGCAACAAGAGAGAAGACCACCGAGAUCUGCCGAUGCCCGCCGUCGCGCCCGCGCCGGAGGACCAUGUGGCCGCGGACGCCACCAAGCUCGUCGCCCUCCACUUGGAAGACGAUGAGCGGCAAGGGGGCUGCUGCUGCUGCUGCGGUGCUGCGUCUUCGUCCCUGGCGAGGCGAGCCACGUCCUGGUGCCGCCGGAGCCUCGUCUCGCGCCCCGUCGUCCGCUGCGGACCGACCGAGCCGGCCGCCAAGCGUGUGCUCGUGGCCGUGGCCGCCGGCACGGAGCCGCUCGUGGCGGCCGCCGCGGCCGACAUCCUCAACCGCGCCGGCGCAAGGGUCACCGUCGCCACCGUAUCCGAGGGCCUUGUCGUGGAGGCCGGCCAUGGGGUCAGGUUCGCCGCGGACGGCAGAGUCGCCGGCCUGGAAGCAGAGGAGUUCGACCUCAUCGUCCUACCGGUACGUCCGCCUUCUCCAUGCCCAGUCAAACCAGUGUGUCAUCCUCAUCAUCAUCCUCAGUUCAUCACCACCUUUGUACGUGUUGCUGGUGGUAGGGAGGAAUGACGGGAUCAGCCAACCUUAGGGACUGCAAGCAGCUGGAGAAGAUGGUGAGGAAGCACGCGCAGUCGGGGCGCCUGUGCGGCGCCAUCGGGGCGGCGCCGGCGCCGGCGCUUGCCCGAUGGGGCGUGCUCGGAGGCUUCACGGCGACCUGCCAUCCGGACCUGCUGGGGCGGAUGGGCGACGAAGACGGGGUGAUCGCCGUGGAUGACAGGGUGGUGAAGGACAGGAACGUGGUGACCAGCCAGGGCGUCGGGACGGCCAUCGAGUUCGCGCUCGAACUGGUGGAGCAGCUCUACGGCCAACUCACGGCGGAGGAGGUCGCCGGACCUUUGGUAGGUACUACGAUCUAGCUUGUGUACAACUACUAGUAGUUGUUAGCUUAAAAGAAAAAGAAAUUACUAGUAGUUCUUCAGUUCAAUCUUUUUACUCCUUUAGUUUCAUCCGUUUGAGCGACAAGUAAUAAGGAUAGGAGUGAGUACAUAUUAUUAUCAAUAUUAAUUUGUGCAAUUUUCUUACAUAUUCAAUUACUAGCAUAUGCGCCCCCAACAAGGAGUCAAGUAUGUCAUCCAAAAGUACAACCAGAUCCAAUGGAAAUGCACUGGCACGGGUUCUUGUGCCUGUUGCCGACGGCUCGGUGGAGAUGGAGGCUCUCAACCUGAUCGAUGUCCUGCGGAGGGCAAGCGCACGCGUCACGGUCGCUUCGGUCGAGGACACGCCGCGCAUCAUGACCCGCCAUUACAAGCUCAAUCUGAUCGCCGAUGUGAUGCUGGAACAGGCUGCUAAAAUGGAGUUCGACCUCAUCGUCAUGCCGGUAAGUUCGAAUUGAGUCGAACAUUCCUUUAUUUUCUUAGAAAAUGAAGGCAAACACAGGGCCUCUGGUCGUAAAUGGUGCUCUUGGGACUACUUGAGUGACCUUGUUGUUUGUUUGUUGCAUGUGUAUAUAUAUGUACCAUAGGGUGGUCUUCCUGGUGCUCUCAAGUUCACCAGCACGGAUAAACUUGUGGGCAUGCUGAAGAAACAGGCGGAAUCUGGUAGACCCUAUGGUGCAAUAUGCGCUUCCCCUGCUUACGUCCUCGAGCCCCACGGAUUACUCAAGGUAUUUAGCCUUUUUUAUGCAAGUUUGAUGCUUCUGGCUUAUGUUUUCCGUCUUUCAUUUCUUUUUACAAAAGAUAAAGCAAUAUGGUGAUAGGCAACUUCUUCACCAUUGUAGGGUAAGAAAGUGACAUCAUUUCCACCCAUGGCGCACCUGCUUACAGACCAGAGCGCAUGCGAAUACAGGGUCGUCGUCGACGGUAACCUUAUCACAAGCAGAGCACCAGGGACCGCCACAGAGUUUGCCCUGGCAAUUGUUGAGAAGCUAUUUGAUGAGGAGAAAGCGAUCGCGUUAGCCAAGGAGUUGGUUUUUAUGUGACAACGUGCAUCGUUGUGGCUCACACACUGUAGAGGGCGUGGUCAUGUUUUGUGAACCUUCCAUGAGCUUCAUACGAAGAAAUUCGACAAAUCUAUCUGUAAAUUAGAUUUCGAGAAGUCAUAAGACAAAGUGAGGUUGGCCUAGUACUACCAAGUGUUGAUAUCCAGAACCUCGAGCUGGGACUUAGCCGUUUGCCGCCAACUUGUUUUUAGAGGAUGUUCUGACUGUACCUCCAAGGGGGAGCUGUCCGGUACUACCGAGCAACAUAUGUUGUAUGAGGCGGUGCAGAGCAAGUUGUUGUCGAAGCAUUCUUCUCUCGGUAGCACCUAGGUAUUUCCAUUUAUCCUAGUGGUGUUUUUGGACAUGGUGCGACCACAAGGUGCCAUGCCCACUUCGGUGAAAGAGAGCUUUCCCCUUUGGCCGUUCAAACCUUCAAACUAGUCCGGUAAUACCAAGUGUGAAGUUUGGAACUAUCAAUCAUGUUAGUUCCUAAGCCUAAUGGUCAGAUUUCUAUAAGUAGGAACCCCUUACCCCCGCGGGUGGUGAAGUUUUUGAACGCUCAUAAGCCAAUGUUGUCAUGUUGUGUUCUACCUUCUCCUUUGCCUAACCGUUUUUGCUCAUUAGCUUCAUCAUCACAAAAAAAUAGAGAAAGCAGCGAGCAACAUUAUAGCUGAAGGGCAUUUAUUUUCUCAAUCUGCAAGGAGCAUUAAAGCAAAAUGAAUCACUUCUUGCUUUUUGCAAAUUCCAGGUGAUCCUUGAUGUAGCAAAAUAAAAGGAAAUGUUUCCCCCAAGAUAACCAGACUUCCCCACUUGGUUCUUCAUACUCGAGGUAACCUUGUUGGUUGCAGGUAGAUAUUCAAAUUAAAGCAACAUCCAGAGGAAGAGUGACCAUCAACGGUGGCUGAGAAGAGUGUUGCCAACGGUGGUGGACCGUCGACGAGGCCAAGGUGAGCUGGUAGGCGGAUGUCAGCCGGGAGAAUACGGGACGGUGGUCGAUGGAGAACCUCCAAUGACGGCACACUUUUUGAGCAAAAUGCUGUCAUUUUUUUUAAAAUUAGGGAACAAAAUGUUGUCAUCUGCUUUAUAAGCAGGCUAAGAAAAUGUUGCCGCUCUAUCUUUUUAACUGAAACCGCCCAUUAAGAGGGUAUCGGCGAGCCGUCGGCUCCGUGCUUAAGCUUCUUAUUCAGCUUAUAAGAUAGUCAGUGAGAAUUUUUACCUUUUACGGGAACAAAUAACUUAACAUAUUUUUUAGGGUAUAUAAGGGAAUUGCUUGUUUUUUUUAUUAGAAUCUGUUAGACAGCCUUUUUAGUAGAAUCCAAUUAGCAUCAUCAUUGCAAAGGAAAACGGACAUUGGUGGGCCGGGCCUUACAAACGGGCCGGGUCAGCAAAGAUGGGCCUCAAACCUUCCAGAGCCACCUGGUCUACUUCCUCCACGGUAGCAAUCGUCAUCGUCAUAUAGGUUUCUCUCAAGCUCUGAACCCCGCCGCCUCCGGAAGCUUCUAGAACCUUCUCCCCCUCUCCCCCCGCCUCCGCCUCCGGCUCCCAUGGCCGACGCCGCCGACGCCCUCUCAGGUACGCGCGCCUACCCCUCCAGCUCCUCUCCGCUCCUUCGUAAGCAAAGAGAUCUCCCCCCAAUCUCAAUCUGGUCCGUCCGCCGCUGCAGCUCGGAGCAAGGUGCAGUCUUUCCUGGAGGCCGCGUGCUCCGGCGACCUCGAGGCCCUCCGGAGUACGUCCCCCGCUCCCGCCCCGCUCACCCCGUCGCCGCCCGGCACGGCUUGCUCACCUGCUAAGCUUUUGUUGGUUUUGUUGUUGGCGCAGAGUUCGGGUCCGCGCUCGACGAGGAGGGGAAGGGCGCGGCCGCGGUGGCCGCCGGCGUGCGGGACGCCAACAAGCGCACCGCGCUGCACUUCGCCGCCCGGGAGGGCCAGACCGAGGUCUGCAAGUUCCUCGUCGAGCAGCUCCGCCUCCCCGUCGACCCCAAGGACGACGACGGUAAUGCUUCCCUGACUCACUAUCCCCAUGCUAUAUGAUGCGGCCAUGCUCACUUUCUCCUUGUAUUGCUCUGAUUCACAAUGUGUGUGUGCAAUUCAAUAGAUGCUUGGUAUGGUUGUGGUGAUGCAUAUUAUAUAUCUGGAUCAAUUUUCCAGGUGAGACUCCGCUCAUCCAUGCCGCCCGGCAGGGCCGCCAGGAGACGGUGGAGUACCUGCUCGGCCGCGGGGCCGAUCCUUCCGUCGCGUCCAACAUGGGAGCCACGGCGCUGCAUCAUGCUGCAGGCAUAGGUAAUGAUGAUGAUGCUGCCCCUCCCUAAUGGUGGUGCUCUGUGUGUGUGCUGUCGAUUACCGACUCCUGAUGCUGAUCGAUAAUUCUGUAUGUUGAUGAAGUGGAGACAAUAUCUGAACGAACGUGUGGCGUUUAUUUUAUUCUUCUUGUUACAGGACACAUAGAGAUUAUGAAGAUUUUGCUUGGUAAGGGAGUCGAUGUUGAAUCCGAAAGCGAGUCCGGCACUCCCCUUGUUUGGGCUGCUGGUCAUGGACAGCAAGACGCGGUCAAGCUUCUGCUUGAACACAAUGCUAAGGUACUUGCUCGUCUAUGCGUUCUCUCCGCCAGUUUGUUAAUCUGAGUUUUCAGUUAUUCAUUCAGUGCCAAGGUUCAGUGCAAUACUCCUGACUAUGCGGUGAUUUUAGUUAUUACUAGUAAUUAACUUGAGCAGAAACUAAAUUUAUAACUGUGAGCAGCAAAAACCUGCUGCAUGAAUUAAUUUGCUGAGGUGUUGUGUAUGAACUCAAUUUAGUUAGGUGGGCUUUCAGCAACUUUUGUACUCAAACUAGUUCUUACAAACCUUGCUUUUGCAGCCCGACACUGAAACUGCUGAUGGUAUCACUUCGCUCUUGUCUGCUGUUGCUGCUGGUUCCCUCCCAUGCUUGGAGGUUCUAAUCCAGGUACAUGAUUGGGCGAGUAAAGGAUUUGUUUGAUUUCGUUCAUUUUCGUCACAUAGAUGUCAUUGCUUAUUUUUGGUUACUGGAUGCUCUGUUUUCCCUGUUAGACAAUGUGGUUUGUGCCUUGGGAAUUUGGCAAACAUGCACAUGAAUUGGGAAUAAGUAUAACAGUAUUCCUUUAUUACUGCAUCGCGAAUGUGCAUACAAGCGUACAAAGUCGAAGGAAAAGAUUCAAAUGUUUAUUCUCGUUUUAUUUUUGCCAUUUUACUUCUGUUUCUGCAUUCAUAUAAUACGCAACAUUGUUUUAUACAUUUGUUUAAUAAUUAGCUUAAUAAUGUGCAACAUAGGCAGGUGCAAACCCAAAUGUCACUGCUGGUGGAGCAACCCCAUUGCAUGUUGCUGCAGACAGUGGAAAUCUCGAAAUGAUCAAAUGUUUGCUUCAAGCUGGAGGCGACCCAAAUACCUCUGACGAUGUAAGUCACCAUGUCUGAGUACUUCAUUUAACUUGCCAAGUGUGGUGAUGCUAUAAUUUAUUUUAUUCAUAUAGUACCCAUCGUGUGUAAUCAUGGUGACUCUGCAUUCAUUUUAGCUAGACGUUCCAAUUGCCUUUGACUGUCUUAUUUAUGCAAACCGAAAGUGUGGAAAAUAAUAAUAUUCCAUUUCUAAACUUAUUCUUCCUGGGUAGUAAUAAUUAUUUAAAGCAACAUUGCCUAAACCAGUGAAUCUAACUGUUGAUGAUUACCUUUUCCUUCUUUCUUUCCUGCAGGAUGGAUUUAAGCCAAUAGAGGUUGCUGCUUUAAGGGAUAACCUUGAAGUCGUUGAACAUCUUUUACCAUUGACUUCUCCAAUCCCAGGUGUCUCGAAUUGGACUGUUGAUGGAAUAGUAAAAUACGCAUCAUCUAAAAUGGAAGAGGAAAAGGUGCCACUUUUGAAUUUUUUAUAUCCUCGUAUGUUCAUGAAACCUCUUUACUUUGCAAAUUCUGUCAACUUUUACAUCUGCAUACAUUCUACAGGCGCAAGAAAAUGAGUCAGCCAGUUUACAGAGACGACAACCCGUUGAGGUGCGCCGUUAUCGUAUAUGUUUUUUUAUAAAAAUCAAGGAAUCUAGUAUCUGUUAUAAUAAUAGUCGACUUGAAAAUUCAACUGUUGAUUUUCACUGCACAAGUUUUACAUCACCUAAAAAAAUGCCAUGCAGGUGUCACCUGAGGCGAAAAAGAGAUCAUUGGAAGCCAAAUCGAGAGGUGAUGACGCAUUCAGAAGAAAAGACUUCCUAGUAGCAGUGGAUGCAUAUACACAGGUAAGAAUCGUUUUUCUUCUUCCUGGAAGCAGUUGUGUGGGACAAAAAGAACUCUAGAAGACUAGAAAUUUAGUUGUAAUUUCACAUGCCAUCUGGGUAUAGAUGCAAUCCUGAGCCAGCCAACCUUCAUUUUAUCAAGUGUCAGUAAGUUUACUGGAUUAUAGUGCAUUGAGAGAAUCAUCACAACAGAACGGAACUCUGCAUUUCAGGCCAUUGAAUUCGACCCGAAUGACCCUGCAUUGCUUUCGAACAGAAGCCUUUGUUGGCUGCGGGCAGGGCAAGGUGAGCGUGCCCUGGAGGACGCGAGAGCAUGCCGAGCACUGAAGCCAGACUGGGCGAAAGCUUGCUUCAGGGAAGGCGCAGCGCUGCGCCUUCUGCAGGUUUGUCACUUUCAGAGACGCGCAGCAACCGGACAUUUAUUCCUUGCUGCCCCUGUUUCUUUUUCUCUUUGUAUGACUACAUAUGCAUACCUGAUGACUCAAGACUACACUUGUUGUGCUGUGGCUGCACCGACAGAGGUUCGAGGAAGCUGCGAACGCGUUCUACGAGGGGGUGCAGCUCGAGCCGGAGAACAAAGAGCUCGUGAAGGCAUUCAGGUAGUAAAAAUAUGAGAGGAAAAAACUCGUACCAGUCGAAAAUGAGGGAGGAACUUCUAUGCUCUGCUUUUGUUUUACUGAUUCGUGUUUUGCCGGUCGCGACGACAGGGAGGCUGUUGAGGACGGGAGGAAGUUCCACGGGACGAACAAGCCAACAACAAACGGAACAAAGUCAGAAUGAGGAUGGCAGCGACGAACCGAACAAAGCCAUGCUAGUAUCAAAAGCUUGUAUGAGUAUCUCCGUGGGAUCGCAUCGGGGAUCCGUUUUACUCUGUCAAGGUGAUAGGGAGGAUGAGUGUAAGCGGAGAUGUUUGCGAAUUCGAUUAGAAACCUCGUUGGGUUGUGUGACUCGGUUAGCAUUCUAUGGUAUGAGUACUGUCUUAGUGUAGGACAUACAAAUGGCCUGUGAACUUGUGGUGGAUUAUCCUUCGACAUUGCCAGCAUACAUUUUCUUUAAUUGUUUCUUUUGCUGCUUCUUCCAACUUUCAUCUACUCAACACUAAAAACAUGUGGUAGAAUUUGUUACUCCAUCCGUUCUGAAAUUUUGGUGAUGUUCUCCGAUGACGUGCAAUAUUGAUAUGGCAGUAAAUAGGAAAGAAAUAUAUGACUAUUGUAGUCAUGAUGAACGAUUUUACAUCAUAUAGAAAUCUAAUGAUGUUAUUUUUGUCUGACCAGCUCUCAUUAUACAUUUUAUUCAGGACUAUCCAGCGACCGUUCGCUGGCCAGGAUGGCAUUUACGAACAUGCGGCUGUCGGUUUUAAUAUUUGGGGAUCACAUUUUUGACAGAAAGCAUGCCAUUUUGCUUAUUUUAGUGCAUUUUCAUUGAAAAACUUUAUUUAUUUUAGUGCAUUUUCAUCGGAAAGCUUUCACCGUCAGAUCUCGAUCCUGUGGCUAUGAGUGGGUUUGCUGGGGAUUUCCUCCUUGGGGAACGGCUGCUAUAUAUCAUUCCCGUUUAUUUAUUUGACCGAGUAAUUGUCAUUUUUAAGAGAAAAUGGUAAUUUGCAUAUUUUAAAAAUGUUGUACUCCCUUUAAUUCGAAUUUUGACGGCG